AAUGAACGUUGGCGGCGUGGAUUAGGCAUGCAAGUCGAGCGCUCAUCAGCAAUGGUGGGAGCGGCGAACGGCGUAGUAAUGUGUAGGAACGUACCCUCUGGUCGGGGAUAGCUACGGGAAACUGUAGGUAAUACCCGAUGAUCUCUGUGGAGCAAAGGUGUGAUUCCGCCGGGGGAGCGGCUUACAUGAUAUUAGCUAGUUGGUGGGGUAAUGGCCUACCAAGGCUUAGAUGUCUAGGGGGUGUGAGAGCAUGGCCCCCCACGACCGGAACUGAGAUACUGUCCGGACACCUACGGGUGGCUGCAGUCGAGAAUCUUCCGCAAUGGACGAAAGUCUGACGGAGCGACGCCGCGUGCGGGAUGAAGGCCCUUGGGUUGUAAACCGCUGUCAGAGGGGAUGAAAUCUCCGAGGGUUAUCCCUCGGAGUUGGCAGAGCCUCAGAGGAAGCACGGGCUAAGUAUGUG
rnacentral:rRNA from 1 species